GACGGCCCACGCCUCGUGCACGGCGGCCUCUGCACACAUGUGCUGGGCUGACAAGUGCGGAGCGGCCCUUCCUGGAUCCAAAGCGAAAUUCCGUCGGAACUUCUUUCGGGCCGAGCGGAGAGGCCCAGCCUGGGACCCGGGCACACCCUCCCCUGGCGGCCGCGCCCCCCGCGUCUCGGCCCGAAGCGGCCACCGAACCCGGGGACCCGCAGCCCGCCGGGCCCAGCGCCUCACCUCCUCCUCGCUCUCGCUACGGAAACACAGGCACGCGGCCCGCUUCUUGUAGCCGUCGCCGUCAUAGGUGCGGGUCUGGUUCGACUUGAGCUUCAUCAUCCUCCGGGCCCGGGUAGGGGUGCCGUGUGGGUCGCGGGAGUCGAAGGUGGGGAGCCCGCUCCGGACGGCCGCGCGCGCGCGCGCCCCCGGCUCGACCAAGGGAAGCAGGGAGGGGGAGCCGCUUCUCCGCUACACGGCUCAGCCGCUGGCCCGCCGCGGCCGCCUCAUUCCCCCCGGCCCAGGCUCCGCGCCGCCGCCGCCGUCACGGCUGCUGUCGCCGCCGCCGCCGCCACGGCCGCCGCCCCCUCUGCCGCCGCCACUCCCGACGACGACCGCGCCGCCAUGUUGGGCGCGCUGCGUCAGCGGCGUAAGGCCCCGCCAGCCUGCAGCACGGCCGCGCGCUCGCAACGCAGGCCACGUUCGGGAAUCGCGCCCUCCCAGUCCGCGCGGCGUAAACGAGCGUCUGGAAGGGGAAAGCCGCGCGACUAAAGGCGGCUGAAACGCCAGUAGCGUAGGGGUGGGGACCUUGGGGCGCGCGGGAGGAAGCCCAGGGAGAAAGGGGUGCGGUUGCAGGGUUGACCCGCUCGGCAGAGGAAGGGUAAGCGAGGAUUUGCCUAAAGUCGCGCCACGAGUGCGCAGCCGAAGACAAACCAAGGUCAGGCCGCCCGGGCCUUGACCCUGCGCGUUCAUCUGAGAGGGGAGAAAGGGGGAAGAUCUGGAGUGAAGGAGGAGGAUAUACUGCGGAUGUCAAACAGACUCUCCAGGGAAAGAUACACAGCCAGAUGCUCUCCAGCAGGGAAAAAUGGGACCUGUGAAUGUUCUCAGCAGCCCAGACCAAACCUAGUACCAUGACAACUCCCUGAACGUGCUGAAAAUCCUAUGCAUGAUUUGUCUGUGAAUUACUUAUUACCCGUUUUGAAUUUGCUUGUAUUUAGCAUCGUCAAAAAAGAUCAGGAUUUGGAACCAAACAAACCUAGGCUGGAAUCUCAUUUUAUAUCAUUUAUUUACCCCUGUAAAAUAGAAAUAAUAAACGCAUUUUGGCACCUGGCACAUAGUAGUCACUCAAUACAUUGUAAGUACAGGCACGUACUUCACUUUUUUGCACUUUGCAGGCAUUGUGUUUUUUACAAAUUGAAGGUCUGUGGCAACCUUGCAUUGAGCAACAUUCUUCCAACACCAUUUUCCCACGUAUUUGCUUAGUUCAUGUCUCUCUGUCACAUUUUGGUAAUUAUCACAAUAUUUCAAACUUUUUAAUUAUUACCUUUUGUUAUGGUUACCUAUGAUCAGUGAUCUUUGAUGUUACUCACUUCAACUUACUGAAGGCUCAGAUGAUGGUUGGCAUUCUUUAGCAAUA